AUUGAACGCUGGCGGCAUGCUUUACACAUGCAAGUCGAACGGUAACAGGCCGCAAGGUGCUGACGAGUGGCGAACGGGUGAGUAAUGCAUCGGAACGUGCCCAGUCGUGGGGGAUAACGCAGCGAAAGCUGCGCUAAUACCGCAUACGAUCUGUGGAUGAAAGCGGGGGACCUUCGGGCCUCGCGCGAUUGGAGCGGCCGAUGUCAGAUUAGGUAGUUGGUGGGGUAAAGGCUCACCAAGCCGACGAUCUGUAGCUGGUCUGAGAGGACGACCAGCCACACUGGGACUGAGACACGGCCCAGACUCCUACGGGAGGCAGCAGUGGGGAAUUUUGGACAAUGGGGGCAACCCUGAUCCAGCAAUGCCGCGUGCAGGAAGAAGGCCUUCGGGUUGUAAACUGCUUUUGUACGGAACGAAAAGGCUCUGGUUAAUACCUGGGGCACAUGACGGUACCGUAAGAAUAAGCACCGGCUAACUACGUGCCAGCCGCCGCCGUAAGAC
rnacentral:rRNA from 1 species